AAAUGGCAUUCAUACUCAUCUUCUAUGACUCAAUAAACUCAAUUUUAACAUCAAACAAUCACUCCCAUUUCAAUUUUCGAAAACCCCCAAUAUGAACCCUAACUUUUCAAAUUCGAAUUCAGGUCAAUUAAACACGUUUUUCAUCUACCCAACUCAUCAAUAAAGUAUAAAAGGACAUAAUUAACGAGUAUUGAACAAGAAAUCAACCAU
rnacentral:lncRNA from 1 species